UAUCCAUUGAAAUAAUCAGUGUGUUAACGUGUCACGCCUGGGCAUUAUACAUGUUAAUCCCUUAGUCAUGCAUUUGGGAGCACUUCCCUCCCCAGAUAGUCUACUCAGGGAGACAAGUAUGGGCAAAAAGUUGUGGCAAGGAGAAUGUCAUGAAAAAUAGAAUCUGAGUGAAACUGUUUCUUGAGUUUUGCUUUCAAAGAUACCCAUCCAUAACUGACACUUGGGACAGCACCAUUUUACAAAAUUAAAGAUUAAUAAUGUUUUCUCAGUUUUGUGUUCUUAAAAACUUCUACGUGAUUGCCUCUCAGGGGAUUUAAUGUUUUUCUUUUUGACAUGCAUCUUUAUCGUUUUGGUGGCUUAUAUAGGAAGGUAAACUCCAACAAUAAUUUACUGAUGGUGUUCCCAGUUUUGCCCUUGCAUGAGUCAUACAAAUACUGGGCUGUGUGUGAAGUUCUUUAAAACUAUAUAAUUAAUAAAUUAUCUCAUUUCACAAGCAUUCUCUCCACUAGUUUGUGUGCAUAGCAUCUUACUAUGACUACAGUUUAUAUGCCUGUCCAUUUCCUUUUUCCAGGAAAAAAAGUCAUGUAAAAAAAGGAUUUCAGAAGCUUUACCCCCCCCACCCUUAUUACCUUUAUGAUUUUUGUUUCUUCAGUAAUUAUUGUUUUCUUUACAUUCAGUCAUUUUAGAAGAACCAUUAAAGACUCAUGAACAAUAAUAAGGCCAGUGCAUAUCCUGCCUUUGCUGAUUAUAAAUUUUUAAAUAUCUGGCAAACAGAGAGUUAAUUAAA
rnacentral:lncRNA from 1 species